CAACAUGCAAGUCGAACGCGAAAGGUUCUUCGGGGACGAGUAGAGUGGCGCACGGGUGAGUAACACGUAGGUAAUUUGCCUUUGGGUGGGGAAUAACAGUCGGAAACGGCUGCUAAUACCGCAUAAUGCAGCGGCUCGACAUCGAGACAGUUGUUAAAGCGGGGGAUCGCAAGACCUCGCGCCUAAAGAGAAGCCUGCGGCAGAUUAGCUUGUUUGGUAGGGUAAUGGCCUACCAAGGCUUCGAUCUGUAGCCGGCCUGAGAGGGCGGUCGGCACACUGACACUGAAUAACGGGUCAGACUCCUACGGGAGGCAGCAGUCGGGAAUUUUGGGCAAUGGGCGAAAGCCUGACCCAGCAACGCCGCGUGAAGGAUGAAAUUUUCGGAAUGUAAACUUCGCAAGAAUGGGAACAAUACGUUCAGGAUAGUACCCUGCAAUGAUGACGGUACCAUUUGUAAGGCUCCGGCUAACUUCCGGUGCCAGCCAGCCGCGGUAAAUACGGGGGAGAGCCAAGCGUUGUCGGAAAUUACUGGGCGUAAAA
rnacentral:rRNA from 1 species